AACCUCCGCAAUGUGAGAAAUCGCGACGGGGGGAUCCCAAGUGCCAUUCUUAACGGGAUGGCUUUUCAUUAGUGUAAAGAGCUUUUGGAAUAAGAGCUGGGCAAGACCGGUGCCAGCCGCCGCGGUAACACCGGCAGCUCUAGUGGUAACAAUUUUUAUUGGGCCUAAAGCGUCCGUAGCCGGUUUAAUAAGUCUCUGGUGAAAUCCUGCAGCUUAACUGUGGGAAUUGCUGGAGAUACUAUUAGACUUGAGACCGGGAGAGGUUAGAGGUACUCCCAGGGUAGAGGUGAAAUUCUGUAAUCCUGGGAGGACCGCCUGUUGCGAAGGCGUCUAACUGGAACGGUUCUGACGGUGAGGGACGAAAGUUAGGGGCGCGAACCGGAUUAGAUACCCGGGUAGUCCUAACUGUAAACGAUGCGGACUUGGUGUUGGGGUGGCUUUGAGCUGCUUCAGUGCCGAAGGGAAGCUGUUAGUCCGCCGCCUGGGAGUACGGUCGCAAGACUGAAACUUAAAGGAAUU
rnacentral:rRNA from 1 species